AGGUUUUGCUGGUGUUGGAAUCCCAGCAAUUCCACCUUACUCAAUUUGCUGAACUUCUCUGAGCCCCCACUGCCUCGUGGGAACAAAAGUAGCUGCCUCAAGAGCUGCCACGUGGAUGAAUGAGGAUGAAGUGCAUUAGUUAGGAAGGGCUGGGUUAUGCUUAGUAACAAGCACUCCCAAAGACUUCACGGCCCCAACAGCUAAGGUUUGGUUCCCAUGAUGGUUGUUUUGUGAAGUGAAAAUGCAGCAAAUUAUGUACUGUUUUGUAAUACUUCUCCUUGGAAGGGACACAUGCCACCUCUGCUCACAUUUCAUUGGCCAAAGCAAGUCACAUGGCCACCCCCAAUGUCAGUAGGGUGGGAAAUAUGAUUGUCCUCUAGGAUCAGAACCAUCUGGGCCUGGUGGCUGGCGCCCGUAGUCCGAGCUACUUUGGAGGCU
rnacentral:lncRNA from 1 species